GAGUUUGAUCGUGGCUCAGAGUGAACGCUGGCGGUAGGCCUAACACAUGCAAGUCGAACGGUAACAGGUCUUUCGGGAUGCUGACGAGUGGCGGACGGGUGAGGAAUACAUCGGAAUCUGCUCAGUCGUGGGGGAUAACGCAUGGAAACGUGCGCUAAUACCGCAUACGACCUUCGGGUGAAAGCAGGGGAAUCUUUAGGGAUCCUUGCGCGAUUGAAUGAGCCGAUGUCGGAUUAGCUAGUUGGUAGGGUAAAAGCCUACCAAGGCGACGAUCCGUAGCUGGUCUGAGAGGAUGAUCAGCCACACUGGGACUGAGACACGGCCCAGACUCCUGCGGGAGGCAGCAGUGGGGAAUAUUGGACAAUGGGGGCAACCCUGAUCCAGCCAUACCGCGUGGGUGAAGAAGGCCUUCUGGGUUGUAAAGCCCUUUUGUUGGGGAAGAAAAACAACGGGUUAAUACCCCGUUGGUAUGACGGUACCCAAAGAAUAAGCACCGGCUAACUUCGUGCCAGCAGCCGCGGUAAUACGAAGGGUGCAAGCGUUACUCGGAAUUACUGGGCGUAAAGGGUGCGUAGGUGGUUGCGCCAGUCUGUCGUGAAAGCCCUGGGCUUAACCUGGGAAUGGCGAUGGAAACUGUGCAACUGGAGUGUGACAGAGGGUGGUGGUAUUCCUGGUGUAGCAGUGAAAUGCGUAGAGAUCAGGAGGAACAUUCGUGGCGAAGGCGGCCACCUGGGUCAACACUGACACUGAGGCACGAAAGCGUGGGGAGCAAACAGGAUUAGAUACCCUGGUAGUCCACGCCCUAAACGAUGCGAACUGGAUGUUGGGUCCAACUUGGGAUUCAGUAUCGAAGCUAACGCGUUAAGUUCGCCGCCUGGGGAGUACGGUCGCAAGACUGAAACUCAAAGGAAUUGACGGGGGCCCGCACAAGCGGUGGAGUAUGUGGUUUAAUUCGAU
rnacentral:rRNA from 1 species